rnacentral:lncRNA from 1 species
GCUCAGGACCGCGCGCCCCUCGGGCUCUGGCCACACGGGUCUCCCCCUUGAGUUGGCUCCGCAAACCGGACCCCUUCCUCCAUGAUGCCUCCCUCCCCCUGGGGCUAAAUCCAGCCCCUUUGCCGCCAGGGGGUUGGCUGGGGGGGCCUGUCCCAGGCAAAAGGGCAGGUAGCCGGGACCCUCCAGGGAGCUCUGCAGCCCCCGCCUCUGCCUGCUUGCCAACCUGCUCUGCCCUGCCUGCUGGCCAGGUCGACCCACCUGGAGCUCUGUCGCCCGACCUGACCCACCCGCCCCUUCUCCGUGCUCGAAAUCACCGGGCUCGUGACUCUCUUGGCCUCACUUGUCUCGCCGUCUGCCUAGCAGUUUGGUUUUCUUUGCUGAGCCCACACCGCUGCCUCGUCUGUCCUCCACCUGCUUGCUUUCUGCCCUUCUGUCGGGUCCAAAUACUCCUCUCCCUAAGGACCCCCGUCCUCCCCCAGAGAGUUUGCAGCCGGUCUCCAGUGCUCACGGGACAGGCCUCCCCCAGACAUCCUCGGAUGCUUCCUCCCAUGGGGGUGGGUGGGGCAGGGCCACCAUGGCCGCACCCAGACUUCGGUCCCGCCCCUCGCCCCCGUGCCUCUUGUCGUGUCCCCUUGGGUGUUAGCCACAGCCUGUCCCUGUCAGCCCUGGGCUCUGCCACGUCCCAGGCCUCGUGACCGGUUUGGGGGGCUGCCACCUGGGCCCGUGGCCUCUCCUCACACCUCUUCCCAUCACUGCUCAUCUCCACGAGCCACCUCCUUCCACCGAAAGCCACGCCGCAGGUGAGACGGGGCUCCAAGCCUUUUCGAGCUUUUCCGGAGUGCUAGCCUCGCCGCAGUCCUAAGUUCCCGCGUCUCCUCCAGGUCAGCCCUGUCCCUGGCACGCGGGCCGCCACCUGGUUGGGUCGGCCGGAGAACCAGACGGAAGAGGCAGGAGAAGCCCCCGGAGGAGCGCCACCCUGCACCCAGCCUUCUUUCCCGAUGCUCGCCUGGCGUCUCGCGCCCAGCGCUGUGCCUCUCCGCUCCUUCCUGGCUCCGGGUGAGUUUCUUGCUUUCUUGGGACACCAGGAUUUCGCUGGUUUCAGCACACGCCUCUAUUCGAGAAGUGCACAUUUAAGCCGGGGAGGGGGCGGCUACCAAGAGCGGAGCCUGUUCACCAGGCCUGCGAGCUGGGUGUCAGCGGGCUGCCUGGAACCAAGACCCUGGCCGCCCGGAGCCAGCGUGAGCGGGGCUCACCCCGGCCAGUGCACGCUGUGGACCAGGUGCGGUAAGUGAGGGGUGUCUGGCUCUGGCCGGGGCCCCCGAGAACCGGCUCGGGCCAGGCGCACGGUGGGUCCUCGGGGAAGCUUUGCUGAGCCUGUGGGUGGCAUGCAGGGCAGAGCGUUCGCCUUCUCUGGGCUCCGAGGCCCAGCCAGAGGGCCAGCGUGGGCAGGUGGAAACAGGAAAGCGCGUCCGCCUGUAGCCAGAAAACGUCUGUCCCCGAACGCCGUGCUGCGUCAGCCCCUGUGUGAAUGCUGGGGUCUCCCACACGAGGCUCUGACGAUGCCUUUCAAUCACAGAGUGGUUUUUGAGUGAGUUCUUCUCUGGGCCCUUCUUCCUCACCCCUGAAAUUGCAACAAGAUGGGAACGCUCGUGUCUGUUUAAAGAAAAUUCGUAACGAUAGAGAAGAAUUGUAGCCACACGGUUCACUCCAGCACCGAUCAUUUGUUUAUCCUCACUUACUCCAGACGCAUCGACGGAGCCAGGGGGGUGCUCAGGGCUGGGGCUCCUUUGGGCUGCCUAAGACCAGCUUUGCCUCGAGGACCAGAGGGUCUAGCCGCGUUCCCUGGGAGAUCCCACGCGGUGAUGUGGCCCAUGUGGCAGCCAAGCCAGGUGGACAGGAAGAAAGGGAGCUGGGCUGAGGGCACUUCGUGUUUUGGGGCCCCAGGAGCCGAGUCUCACCGCGGGACAAGAGGGUACUGUGUCAGGGCCAGCAGGCCACGGGGAUGUGCCAGCGAGGCUGGCUGUGUGCCUCGUGUGCCCCGCAUCGGAUGCUCCCGGGGUAGCCACUGGGGUGACGAGCGAGGGCAGUGAGACUCCCCUGGUGGUCCAGGUGGGAGGAACGGCCUGCUGAGGCUAACUCAGCCUCCCAGACGUUUAUGGAGCCUCGGGUGGGUCCCAGCGGUGUCCUUGGUCCAGAUGCCAGCAUCCCCCUUGGUGCCUACACCCGGGGCUCUGCGAGAGGGAAGAUGAUGAUCGGAGCUCCCUGCCGGAGUGUGGGAGGGUCCCCUCCAGGUGCAGCAGCCCACGGGCCGCCUGCUGUGGACCCCCAGGGUCCCUGCACCGCCCGCUUACAUAAUGGCUUUUCAUCAGACGCAGGCCUUCCACAGCCUUGCCCCUCUCCCCGGGAACGGAAGUGAGGUGUGGAGGUGAUUUUUAAACACAACCCCGUGCAGGCAGCAAGGGGCAGAGAGAGGUAUCCACACCUGGGGGCUGUUGCCUUUAUCUGCUUGUUUUCGCUCCCCAGAGAGCCAGUCAGGCUGCGGUGAGGCGGGGAGUGUGUGCCCAGGGCUAAACCCAAGGAAGGACACCGGGAAGCCCCGCCCUGUGAUAUUUGCUCCCUAGCUGGCAUUUGCGGAGCCACCACCUGCAAGCACGGUGACGUGGCAGAGAGGCCUGGGAGGGAAGCUUUACAUAGGGCGGGAUGCAGGUCUGGGGUGCGGUGGCGGGGGAGGGGGGGGGUGUUGUUUCCGGAGCUUACAGAGCAAAUCCGUGUAGCUAGUCUGAGCCAAGUGCCCAUGGUUUCUGGGACAUCUCAGGACUCCCUCGAGCUGGGCUGAGCUGAGGGGCAGAGUCAGGUGCCCAGCCAGUCCCAGACGUUGCCAGCCCCCCGCCCCCCACCCUCCACGGCAGUCUGGGAUGACAUCUCUUUGGGCCCCCUUGUAUUUCAGGUGCACUUGCGAAUAUUCGGUCUCGGGCAAACACGUAUUUUUGCGUGUUGUACAUAUUUGGGGUUUUGCGCGUCAUUAAGUGGAAAACAGAUGAAGACUAGAUCGAGGGUUCUUCUCAAUUAAAGAAGUUAAAACACAAGCUCGUCAAUCAGCCGUGCGGUCGGACGUCCCAGGAAUUACAGAACGGCCGUUGUUAGGUGUUGAAGGAAACGGCAUUUUCAGGAAAAUUCUUUUUUGAUGGAUUGGCCCGUCCCUGGGCGGUGAGAUCCUGGCUGGCCGGACAGAGGGCGGAGGCCCUGUCACUGGCAGGAGCGGGGUUCUCUGGCCAUUUGUCAUGUGCUAAGCUGUUUCCCGGGGCCUGUCUCUAGCUGGAGGCUGCCGGGAGGGCACCCAUGUCAGAGGGGGGAUGGUGGUCUUGUCCGGAAGCUGGCCCUCCUGUUCCACUGGCCUGCCCCUGGGUGGGUGUGAAAGGGAGCCCAGAGCACAACUCAGCCUCUGUGCUCCUAGAAAGGCACCAAGCGUCCCUCUGCCCCGCAUUUUCCCACCUGCAGGUUCCUUGGUGGGGGGAGGUGCAUUGAAGCUUUCAAGGCCCCUGACCUUGUGACUUGUGAUUCAAACCCCAAAUGCAUUUCCAAGCACAUUUCUCCAAAUCAUGUCAAAACCUGGCAAGACUGAAGGGCACCAGGAUGCAUGUGUUUCUUAUUCAUUUACAUGAAGUAACUCAAAUGUGUUUUUUAUGAGCAAUCUGACUUCUAGAAAGAGAAAAAAAAAUCUACCCAUCUUUAAUGAGCUUGCUAAUGAAUUUUUCCUUGAAAAGAAGAAGGCGGCUUUACACAGAAGGGGGUGUGGAGAGAGACAAAUUAAGGUUCCAAAGGGUUAAAGGGCAGCGGGCAAUGUGGAGACCAGCAUUGUCAGCUGAAUGGCGAAGGGCUCGCGGCUCCGGGGGCAGUGUCUUUUUAGAAGACCAGAGUUUAACACAGUUGUGGAUGAAGGCCCAGGAGCCGUGCCCCCUUCCCGCCGCUGCUUUGAGCCCUGUCCUCUCUCCUAAAAGGGGAACAAGGAAGUACAGCCUGGCUCCCGUCUCUGGGUUCGGCAGAUGGAAAAUUCUGGCAGAGAAUUGUAUCUUUCCCAACGAGGCCAUCUCAGAUGUGGGGUUCCCAUUUUGAAAGGGGGACCCAAGCGUGGGUGGGGAAGGAGGGGGCGCUCCCUCCACGGUGCCUUGGGUCCAGGGGACAGCCCCGGGUCCCUUGCGGCUUUGAGAAGCCGGGCCCUUAGGGAAGGCUUUAGAGAAGGACGGUGUUGGAGAUGCCGGCUCUGGUUCUUGGCGUGGAACGAGUCAGUGUUUCAGAGCCAGGAAAGGUGUGCAUUGAGAGAGCCACUGUCACUCCCUUGGGAGGAGGUUGGACACCCUCGGGCCACUGCAGCAGGACAGAGCAGUGCCAGCGAGAGGGGUCUCGAGUUUAGUUGGAUCCAGCCGAAGUGGGGAGGACCCAUCUCGGGGGGAGCCCAUACAUCCUGGAAUUUCUAGCGUCUUCUGGAUGUUAGACACUUGGUCCCAUACCUCGGUCCUCACUGUGGAGAACUGAUCGCCCCUACCCGUGCUUUUGGGAACUGAGUGGUGAGAAAGUCUCCAGAGAUAUCCGCGUUUGUCUUCCCAGCUCCCUUGCCCACCCCCACUCCCAGCCCUGGGAUCGUGAGGGACCAGGGAGCAGAGCAGGUGCUGGGUAGCUCAGGCUGGGGUCGGCCCCACUUGGGAUGCGUGCGGGAGGGGAAUUAAUCAGGGGGAGAGGAGAGUGGUGGAGGGUGUAGUCGUGGGUCUCUUAAUUGCUCUCCAGUUUCUUUGGGCUUACAAACAAUCCAGAUGGAGAGUUCUUAAGUCCCCCACCCUGGGGGUCGGGGGAGAGGACGGCUGCCCACCACCUUUUGCCUGGCUUCUCUGCGCAGUGAAUAGGGUCUUUGGCAGGGGCUUAAGGAGGGACUCUUAGCCUGGGAGCUCCCAGGGCCGUUUGAGGCGGAACAAAGGCGCAGGCAGAAAGGAAUGUGGGGGAGCCCCCCAUGGAGAACAGCCACCUGGGGAUAAUCGGGAGGGCCGAGUGCACAUGAGUUUUCCCAGGUCCUGUGAAUACAUUCUUUCAAUAGAAGGUGCCUUUUCUUCAGAUGAAAAGAAGAAAAGUUCAGUCACCUUCCCUGGAACGGAGUGUGUGUGUGUGUGUGUGUGUGUGUGUGUGCGCGUGUGUGUGUCGGGAGCUGCAAGGCGCAGACAAGAGGCCGCACAAUGACACGGUUAAGCAGUCACCCCAGCAGCGUGACCUCAGACACGCUGGUGCUCCUUGGGCCUAAGGGCUUGUAUUCUGCAAGUUUCUCAGGAGGAAGAAGAGUCCUUGCCUGUAAACAAGGAUUUGAUCAAACCAGGCCUCAUGCCCGAGAGAAAGCCGGGGAGGCAGAUGGGGCCAGGGGGACAGCGCUCCGGCGUGGAAAGUUGGAGAAGGACAGUCAGAGGGGCUGGAGGCUGACCACGUGUCUGUGCCAGGCGUGCGGGACUCCGCUGGGCGGCUCCUGUCUUCGAGGCUCGUUCUCUGGGCCGUCCCGAGGGUGGACAUAGGGUUGUUCCCAGCAGGUUAGGGAAGAGGGAGCUGGUGCUUGCAGUUAGGGAGGGUGGCGGGGUCAGCGUGGCUCACAGGGCCAGGGCGGCCCCCAGCAAGGGGACCCUCUCGGAUGGAGGGCAGAGAGCUUGCCCCAAACUACCCUGAGGGCUCCGCCCCCCUGGACCAACGGGGCGAUACCCCGCCACAGAAGGAAGGGGACCCCGUCCCAGUCUUGGCCGGUGCCUCUUGCUGCUGGCUUCCGGGCCUCCAUUUUGCCAUCUGUAAAAUGAGGCAGUAGCCUGUCAACCUUGCAUGGUGUUCUGUAAGGCAGAAGGAGCACGGGAUGUCAGCUAGGGAGAGGCCAGGGCCCCGCUUCACCGGAGUGGGAGGACGGAAGGCCUCAGGUGUCCAGAUGGGGCCCCCACUGGCCUCUAGGACGCACUCCCACUACUCAGCACUGGUCACUGAGAGGAGGAAACUCUGAACGGGUGCUCUGAGUGCAGCAGCUGCCCUGGAACAGCCUUCGGGAGACCUGGUUCCAGCCCGGGCUCAGCCCCACCUAUGGGUGUGACCUUGGAUCCUGUCUCUGGCCUGCUUGGCCUUGAUUUUCCCAACUGCAACAUGGGGCCAUGCAGGAUCUCGGUCAUCUGAGGGCCCUUGGAGCUCUGGCUUCCUUCUGGCUGCCUCAGUGGUCCUCUGUGGUUUGUCUGUCUGCUUGCUGGGUCUCUAGAGUCCGAGGGCCCGGGAUUACUGGUCCGCUGCUGUCCGGCCUCCUCUGCUUUCGAGAGGAGACAGAGACCGGAGAGGGUUGAUGCCUUGCUCCAGGUAGCAGGCCCUGGAUGUGAAGCCCACUCCCAGUGGCUGGGCCCCGCUUGGCCAGCAUGGGCAAUGGGGUUGCGGUCAUUAGCCAGUCCCCACGGUCUGACACCCCCCCCUCCCCAGCCACUUUUUGACCCCAAGAUCCUGAUAGUGCUCACACCCCAAGCUAGCUCCGAGGGACUGCCUGUGGGCGCUGGGGCCGGAAUGGCAUUUUAUAGAGCGUUUUACCAAAUGGGUGGGCCGCUGGCCAGGCCUGGAAAACCCUUCUGGGCUGUGGGGUGGUCACCGUGUAACGGAGCCGAGCCGGCCCCGUGGCGGCGGGUCCCAGGAGGCUGUGGCUGCCGCACCUGCCCCUGUGGCUCACCUGGUGUCUUUUGGUCACGAGACCCUCGGCAGCACCUACGUUGGCGUCCUCGCCCGCUCGGCUGAGAACUUCCCGAAAAAGCCAUCAGGGUGGUAACUUCUGGAAAAGUGAUCAGUCCCCAGGCUUGUGCUGGCUGCCCGUCUCGGACCCAACUUGGAAGCUGUCUGCGGCUCUCUCUCUGUGUUUUCGGCUGUGAUAGUAAACGGCUCGCGGGGCCUCGGGUCGGUCCCGCACCGGGUUAUUGCCGCAGCGGGCUGUGGCCUCUGUUUUGUGACCUUGGUGGCAAUGGUACCUGGAAGCUGAAAUGAGGAAUAGCGAAAUUGCCAACUUCAAUUAGACCAGCGACUGCCUUUCCCGGGGCUGUGCCUCCACCACUGCUCCAUUAACCGUAAACAUACGCCAAAUAGGCCCUAAUUCUCUCUAAUUGCCCACUCCUGAAGCAAAGAGUGAAAUUCCAGGAAGAGGCAUAUGUAAACAUCCUCCAUGGCCCCGCCAGCCAAAAUUAGAGGGCUGAUGGGGGCCAGCAAGAGAGGGGCCAUGAUUUCAAAAGAUGGCCCAAUUACCUCUCCCAUUUUCAUAAAUGGGUCCAUAAUGUCCAGGCCCCGGUCUUCACAAAGGUACAGGAAAUUAGCUUUGCAAAGAGCCUGCGUCUGUGAGGGGAAGUUGUGGGAGGGUGGUCUUUACUCAACAGGUAGGCAGCCUGAGAUCUGAGGCGAGCCUGAUUAUUUGUAUAAACUACAGGCUGUAUUUCUGGAAAUCACCAUUUUAUUGAAAAUAAUCCUUUUAACGUCUCUCCCUGCACUACACAUCCACGAGUUAUGUGUACCAAAGGCAUGCCAGAUCAGUUGGGUCCGGUUGGCCUCCAGAAAAGAGGAACUUUUAAGACCUUGAGCUAGAAUGUUCUAAUCCUGUUAAGCCACGGAGGAGGUUUCUGGGGUGUCCACCAACGCUUCCUGCGUGGCUCGUGAGUUCAGUGCACGCAUUUGUGAGGUCUGAGCUCAAAUGCUUGCGGCGGCUGUUCCCCUGGACCCUGUAAGGAGGCCUUGUGUUUUCCUCUGGUUCCAGACAGUGACUCAUCUCUGCAGCUUUUCUGACAUCUGUUACGAUUCCAGCCCGGCACUGCGUUGUUAUACAUCACAGCAAACGCGGGGCCGGUGCCCACAGCUUUGAAACUGUCGCAUGACUUUGCCAGGGCUGUGUCUGCACAAGCAGCCUGGGGUCUGCGUGAAAGUUAAUCAGGGACAGUGAGGAACCCCGGGGAAUUCUUGGAGCCCCCGGGGCAGAAGCAGGAAGAGACCCAGAUGCCCCGAGCUACCUCUGAUUUCCCUGGUCCUGGUAAACGCACCAAAGUCCUUUCCCCAACUCUUAGUCCCACGGGAGGUGACAGUGCCUGGGGUCUUGCUGUGCAUUCAGGGUCUGGAGUCCCAUUGUCCCCUUAGGACUGUGGCAACCAUGAGGGGCGCACCCCAGGCGCUCGCAGGCCCCUGGGGAGGCCUGGAACUGUCUCGGGUGGUAUCCAGCUCAAAGUGGGAGGCUCAGAGGGGCACCUGGGUGGCUCCAUCGGUUGAGCAUCUGACUUCAGCUCAGGUCCUGAUCGCAAGGUUUGUGAGUUCGAGCCCCGCAUCGGACUCUGUGCUGACGGCUCAGAGCCUGGAGCCUGUUUUGGAUUCUGUGUCUCCUACUCUCUCUGCCCCUUCCCUGCUCACACUCUGCCUCUGUCUCUCUCAAAAGCAAAUAAACAUUAAAAAAUUUUUUUUAAAAAUGGGGGGCCCAGAGCUUUUACCUAACCAGAGUCUGCCCUUGGUCAGCCACCAGCUUCUAUUUAUUAACAUUUAUAUCUUAAAGACUAUUUGGUUUUUGUUCAUAAGAUCAACCGAUGAGGGGAAAACAGUGUUUGGGAAGCUCAAGGCCAAGGAAGGAAUUUUUAGGAGGAUUUGGAAACGAGUUGUGCCCUCCUGUGUCCUGGCCGAGUCCUGGGUACACAGUGAUGGACGCUACUGAGAAUAAAGAGGUGUAGGCAGUGGGGGGAUCCCCUAGGGCUUAAGUCAGGGCAGGGGGAGUUGCAGAGAGCCUCUUCCCACCUUGGGGCUCCCUGCCUGCACCCGCUCUUGCCCCAACCUCUGGUUCCGCCCUCACCCACCUCAGCUGUCACAGACCACCUUUCGGCCACACCUCCUUACCUUCACUAGACUCUACUGAACACGUGUGCAAAAUCGACUUGCUCAAAAUAACGUUUUUUGUUUUAUUUUAUUAAAUUAUUUUUUAAUGUUUAUUUUUGAGAGAGAGACAGAGAGAGACAGACCAUGAGUGGGGGAGGGGCAGGGAGAGGGAGACACAGAAUCCGAAGCGGGCUCCAGGCUCCGAGCUGUCAGCACAGAGCCCGUCGUGGGGCUCGAACUCACGAACCGCGAGAUCAUGACCUGAGCUGAAGUGGGACACUCAACCGGCGGAGCCCCCCCAGGCGCUCCUGUUUUGUUUUUUAACAAAUUGACUUCUUUCCUGAGCAGUCUUAGGGUUACAGAAAGAGUCAAUGGCGUCCACACAGACCCCAGUUUCUCCCGUCAUUAACACCUUGUAGCGUGGCGGCACAUUUAUCUUGCUUGCGGAGCCCAUCUCUGAUGCGUCGUCAUUAGCUAAAGUCCAACGCUGACGUCACUGGAUCCGCUCUCGGCCUCCUACGGUCUGUGUGUUUCGACAGAUAUGUAAUAAUGUGAGUCUACCAUUAAGCGACUCACUUUUUGUUUAAACUUGAAGGCAAAUGCUCGAAACUGAAGGUUGGCUGCGCCUGGCCGCGGCUCUUGGUGGGGCUGAUGAAAAUUUGUACAUGGUUAUGAAGGUGAAGGUGUUUGUCCAGACGCCACAAUCGUCCAUCCUGUGACGUGUGCGCUGUGGUUUUAGGACACGCUGUCCAUUAAAGACCCCGCAGCCCACUCCUCUCGUCUUGCCCCUGCUCACACCCCCAUCCCGCUGGCUUCUCCCUGAGCACAUGCUGUGCCUCGGCUGUGCCCUCUGUCAUGAUAGGAUGUCCUUCCAGGGAAUCUUCUCCCCACCCUUUUGGCGUCCAGCUCGGCGGUCACUCAUGCAGUGGCUCGACAUCUUUGGUCUCCACAGAGUAGUACUUGGAUGCACGGGUAGCUCUCAGCCAAGGGCUCUUGGGUCAGGAGCCUCGUUCCUCCUCUCUGCCUGCCCCCACCCCCCCAUCCUCUCCAGACUCAGAGGAAGCUGGGGUGCGGAGCUUGGCGGGAGAGUGAGGGUACCGAAGAGAGAAAGGUUGGGUUUUCCCAAUCCCACACUCGCUAGAAGCUGGGGAGUCCCUGCUUGGGGUGGGUGAGCUUCCAGGGCAGUGACCCAGCGCUUUCUCAUUCCAGUCGAAGCCGCCAUCUGGAAUUCUCCGUGGAAGAGACCUCGACGCGCGACCCGGCACCCUCCGGCUUUCAAAUCGUAAGUUGCUGGAGCGUGGGGAACGCAUCUGUGGCCUUGUCACUGAGGGUGGGGGGCUGCCUCCCGGAGCACACUGCCAGGCAAGCCCCGCGGGAGGGAGUGGUGAGCACUGGCCAGUGGUCCGCUCACGGGGAGGUGGGUGCCCAGCGAGCCACACUGAUUGCGGACCUGGGGGGGCUUGUGUUCUAAGGCAGGACCCCCCAGCCUCCUUGUGUUGUCUCUGUGGCAAAAGAAUUCUAUAGGCGGCUUCGAGUGCCGGACCCCCAAAGAAUUCCUUCUCUUUCGAUCCUCUACCUGAAUGGCCCUUUCAUUAUUGAGUGUCCCUUUGGCUCUUGUGCCCCAGGGCAGACUAGGACGGAAGUGCCCUUGUGAGCUGGGGGGCCCUUCAAAGGGCCGAGGAAAAAACGCGGGCCGAGGGACCAGCCUCUCAAACGGGCUUCGAGCUCCAAUGACCUUCGCUCACCCCCUUGAAAUGUCUGGAAAACAGAAUGGGCAGAUUUUCUGUCUUCAAAGUUUCCGGCUAAGUCUCUUCAAGUUCUUUAUUGUUUGGGACUGAGACACUCAGCAAUGGUAAUGGGUAGUUGCUUUUGUAUCGGCCUUGAAAGGCCCAAAUAUUUUCAUAUUGCUACAGACAAAGCCGUCUAUUUAGAAAUGAAUGCCAUGUCUGUCGUUUCCCACUGGGGAGACUGUGUACAACGUGUGUGUCUCUGUGUACUCGAGGGUCUUGAAACAGGUUUCUCAUGGGGAUGCCCAUUCACCGGGGUCCAGGGGGAAGCACCAGGGAAGAGUCCAGGGGCCCUAACUGCAUACCUGUCCCGGUUUGUCUAGGACGUGAGCCCCGGGAGGGUCUGGCUGCACUAACAUCUACUCUGCCUGUGCCUGAAUGUGUCAUGUGUAUGUGUUAAGGACUGUGGGGCGCGCACACCUUGGUGACCAGCUUGGUGGGAGGAGGCAGAAAGGUCGAAGACUGUGGACGUUCCGUUUGUCUUGUUGGGAGGUCAUUUCACUGGUAUCUCUUACGUGGUCCAAAUAAGCGAAUGGAUGGAUGAAUGAAUGAAGGCACCGGGGCACGAAUAAACAAAUAACUAGGUGGGGAAGUGAAAAAGCCAGGAUGAGAGUACAAUGAGCACGAUCCCAUUCGAUGCCUAGGAGAUUGAUACAGGAAACCAACAAAAUAUCGAAUCACCGUGUAAAGAGAGCCACACAAGAACCAGUAUCCAGUCACCACGGACCAAGGCGUACGUGUGAUUCAGAUAGGUAGCCCCUUAGGUCUAUCGUAAGAGAAUAAGACCCGAAUGGAAGCAAGAAUGGGUAGGAAGGGGAAAUGCAGAAAGCAGUGGUGGACAGGACCGUACCGUACGCUUAAACCUUUGCUAAGAGGCUAGAUCUCACGUGAAGCGUCCGUAGCAGAAAAGAUGGUAAAAGGAGUGAUCAGUCAGGGCGGGAGGAAGCUGUCGGAGGUGACGGAUAGGCUUAUGACAAAAGAUCGUGGUGCUGGGGUCCCGGGCGACGCUUCUCUCCAGAUUCACCAGGUUGCGUACGUUAAGUAGGUACGGCUUUCUGUAUGUCAAAGCAAAGUUAAAAUGAAAACGAAUAAAGAGAAGGCCACUGAGAGAACUCGCACUGUUGACGAUGAGAGCAGGAACCUCAUCAGGAUGAGAAGGUUCGAGAAAGAGGGAGCAGGUGUUUGGGAGGGAGAGCGAGUGCGGCAAAACGCAAACAGUGAAGGAAAGGAAGAAGGGUAAUUUCCUUGGACGAGGGGGUGAACACAUACACAAGGAGGCCUGUGUCAGGUUAUUGUAAACCAAGCAUGACGACGAGUCCACCACGUACGUGCUCCUGGCAUAAGAAUAAGUAAGUGGCAGAGAAGGAGUUCAAAGAAUCGUUAAAAAGAGAGAGAGAGGACCCAGGACACCAGAGAAGAGAGUUAACUUCUACCAAAAGUUUUCUAACUCCGGGCACACAUAAAUAAAUCAGUCCCAAAAGGAGAGAAAGCCAAAGAGAAAGAGGGAGAGAGGGAGAGAGCGAGCUCACGGUGGAAAUGCCUGGACCCAGAUGGGAACACAGCGUGAGGGGCUUGUGGUGUCGUCCGGUGCUGGGAGCUGAGCCUGUCCCCCGAAAGGGUAAAAGAAAGAGAGAAUAAAGUAAAAUUAUCUAAAUAAAAAUCAAGCACGGAAGGAAAAGUCACAGACGGUUGGUCCAGAAACACAUUAAUGGGUGAAUAAAUUCAGGCAGGAAGGCAGUGGUAGGAUUACUGAUAGGAGACUGUCAUGCGUCCAAGCUCAUGGUUAGUCCGUUCUCCAAGCCGUGGUGCUAUCGAUAAAAUAAGGAGUCUCUAAAUAGAUAAGUCAGUCUCCAGAGAGACACCCGGGGUGGAUGGAGUGAAGGGUGCCCGGCCCCGCAGGAGCACCUGCUGGGUGUCGGCAGGGUGGUAAUUCAUCUCAUCUGGGCACCCGAGCACCAGGAGAAGGCAGGCAGGGGAGUGGGAGGGGAGAAGGGAGAGAAGCAGAGCUGGGGCAGGUGGUCACAGGGUGGCGGCGACUAAAUGGCUAGGUGGGAGGUCCACGGGGGAGGGCAGGCUCAGACUGUGGAUCGUAAUCGGUCCAGGUCUGAGCACUCACCCCAUUAGUAGUGGAGUAAGUACUGAGAAAGAGAAAGAAAACAAGGAAGGGAGAAUGAAUGGAAGGAAGGAAGGAAGGAAGGAAGGAGAGAGGGAAGGAGGGAGGAAGGGAGGGGGAGGAAGGAAGGCAGGAAGGGAAGGAGGGAGGAAGGAAGGCAGGAAGGGAAGGAGGGAGGAAGGAAAGGGGCGGAAGAAAGGAAGGGAGGAAAGGAGGGAGGGAGAAAGGAAGGGAGAGGAAGGAAGGAAGGGAAGGAGGGAGAGAGGAAAGGAGGGAGGAAGGGAGGGGGAGGAAGGAAGGAAGGUAGGAAGGGAAGGAGGGAGAGAGGGAAGGAGGGAGGAAGAAAGGGGGAGGAAGGAAGGGAGAGGAAGGAAGGAAGGAAGGGAAGGAGGGAGAGAGGAAAGGAGGAAGGAAGGAAGGAGGGAGGAAGGAAGGAAGGGAGGCAGGCAGGCACCAUGACGCUGCAGGGGCAGGGACCAUUUGCAUGUGGCAUUAGGAUUCAGGGGUCCCUGGCAACUGAGCGCCAAAGAUCAAGAGAGCCAAGAAGGGAGAGAGACAGAGAGAAACGAUGGAAACCGGCUGGGGAGGUGGGGGGACCGUUGACUAUAGAUGAUCACGUAUCCAGUCAGGCGCACCUGUCAUCCAGAAGCAGAAAAAUAGUUACUUAACUGGGGAGAAGGACCUGAUGGAUGUGUGGACAUUUGAACGAAGGAGCGAAGGAGAAGAGAGAUUUGCACCGACUGACGAGGAGGGUGCCUGAUCUCUGAAAGAAUGAAAGGCAGUAAGAAAGAUCAGAAGGGUGGAAGACAGAAACCAAUCAAGAUGGGGGGGGGGAGUGAGAAUCAAAAUUAAAAAAAAAACAGAUUCAACAGUGAAGUCUAUGAGAGGGUACUGGUUUAGCACCAAUCGCCCACAUUAGUUCAACUCUGGGGCCCCAGAGUUUAUAGAUAAUAAAACCAAUACCAUAGAUACAAGACCGAACGUGGCCCAUGAACGAAAAGUGAAUACGCACAUAGGUAUACGAGAGAGAGUGCCAUGCCUGACAAAAGCACGAGCGGGCACCGGGGGCCCGGAAUAGUGACGGAUUCGAAACUGGACUCCUGACGUUGUUAAAUAAACCCUAAACCAGAUCACCAGCUCGAGGAAUUAACGAGCAAAAAGCAGCCCCACACGGACGGCGCGGCGAAGGCUCCGGGAGCCACAGAUGAUGGUUAAUCCAAUUCUGUGCACCUGAGGUCCAUAAAUAAAAGAAUGAAUAUUGAAAUAGAAGGGUGACAGAAAGAAUGAGUGGACGCAGGAACGACUGAAUUGUGAAUGGAGAUUGCCUGCAGCAGCCAGGGAGAGGGCUACCCUUUGGGGCUGUCAGUCAUCUGACUCCAGGCCCCCGAGGCCCCUGAGAGCGACAAGAGAGAGAGGAGGAGAGUGGAAGGAGGAUCCGUGAACGGUGCCGGGGGUGUGUCUGAAGGGACAGGCUCUGUUAGGCGUGGUGGUCAGGCGGUCCUCGCACCGAAAGGUCGACGAGAUGGACCAGUCCCAGUUUCUAGAUCGAGGGAAGUAGACAGAGAGGAAAGGAGGAAAAAGGGAAGAUAAUGCACGUUAAAACGAUCGCAGUGACCGAUGGAGAGAAGAGAGAGGUGGUCCAAUCAGGGCUCAGGAUUAGGUGACGUACCCCCUCCUUCGAUAGACAGAUGCAUUACAGCCUUCGGAGACUAAUAGAAGACCAAGGAGUUAGCCCACAGGCAAGGCUGCAUGUCCCUGCACUGUCCUAAGGUAUACGCAGUGGGGGCCCACGACUGCAAGAAUAAAUACCCAAGUGUCAACGGGGACUCAGUGCCAGGCACGUGCACGCACACGGGUAGGCAGGGCGCUUGGUGUGCACGGACGGGGCCUUGACUGGCGGGCUCUCUCGCGGGGGGACCAGGAAUCGAAGGAAGAGUCAACACGGAGGGGAUGGUGGGACGGGGGCUCUUCCUCCUGCGGGGAGGAGCGACAGCAAGCCGGGGAGGUGAGAUCUGGGGUGAAAUAAAAGAAGGGAAUAGGGGACAAGGAGGCUGGGUGAACACAUGAACAGGGCUGGGAAGAGAGGUCUGCAGGACCGAGGCUCCGAUUAGAUCGCAGCCGCGCUGUGGAUGCCCAUAGACCAGGGAGUCAGGUGUAAAGGGAUGAGCGCAGGAGGAGCUGGAAGGGAGGACGGAAGGAUGGACGGACGGACGCACGGACGGAUGGACGGAGGGAGGGAGGGGCCUUCCUUCCAGCCACACGAGAGGGUAUGAGCUCUUGGCAUGCUGUGUCCUUGGCGCACGCACUUCACCCGGCGGGGGGGGGGGGGGGCUGGCUCUGGGGUCCCUGGCCGCGGAGUGCCAUUGCGGUAUCCUGGCUGCGUGGGCCAUUCGACCUCAUCUCUCUCAUCCUCAGUUUCCCCAUCCGUGAACUUCGAAGGCCAUCAGCUUCCUGCUUGGAUUGACUGGGGGGGCACAUGCUCUCCCACCCGUGGGCAGCGCCCUGUCCAGAGCCCUGGGCAGGCGGGAGGGCCCAGGCCCUGGCCCCUGCAGAAUGUUGUGUGAACAAGGGGUGUGGGGCCAGGUGGGUGUCUCGGCCCCUCCCCGGGCUGGGUCACCUGUGAGGGAGGCUUUUCCCGCCAGGGGGCAGCAGAGGGCAAGGGAGCAGGAGGCCCUGGGGCCAGUGGGCCCUGUCUCCCGACCCCGCUGGGUGUGGCGCCGCUCACAUCCGCAGGGCUGUGUGGGUUAGAAAGUGGCCAGGAGUGCCCGAGAAGGGUGACCCGGGAGCCCAGUGACCCAGGCGCCCAGAGGCAGAUCAGCAGAAACCUUGUUCAUGCAACUUUCUGAAAUGAGCCCGGGUGCCCUCCGGCCCGGUCGGCUGUGGGGCGGGCCGCCUGCCCUUCUCACCUGGGGGUCUCAGGCAGGUGCACCUCAGCCCGGGGUUGCAGAAGUGGGCCCCGGGUCCCGGCCCCCUUGACAUGGCAUCCCCAGAGCCCGUUUCAAGGCCUUACUGUCUUCUCGACUGUUUUCCGACGUACUCUGUAUUUCGGCAAAUACCGCUCUUGCCUUGUGUGUUGCACUGUCUUCCCUCCUCCCGACCUGCCCCGCCCCUCCCCCCCCCCCCCCCCCCCCCCCCGCGGGCCGUGGCAGGUCUGGAGGGUUGUGUCCUGACGUUCCCAAGCCCAGGGACUCCCUGGAUCUGUCUAGUCUUUCUCUGUAGUGGACAGGAUUUGUGCAGUCGCGUGUUGUGUGCUUGUGUUUGUCUGUAAAAUCUAGAACCAAAGUCCUCCUCAACCUCUCACUUCCUAUUUGGGACACUAAAACAAAAUGUGCCCUGACCGGGAGGAGCCGUCCCCACCGGAGCCAGGAUGCGUGGCCGGGAGCACGCGGGACCCGCAGGAGGCGGGCGGGGGCGGGGCUGGCGUUAGGUCUGGUGGGCAGGUUGGGCUGCUUACGCCUGGGGUGACUUUGGCCCCCGGGGUGGGAACAGGGAGCUAGCCCGUCGCAGGUGCCAGCUGGGGCCGCUCCUGCUGAAGGUGCUCACCUAGGGCCGUGGCGUGGGGGGCACAGGACUCAAAGCCGUAAGGUCUGAGACGGGAUGGGAGGACGGAGUGAGGGGGGCGGGGGCCACUUCCACGCUUCAGUGUGGCCCCACACGGGUGAUGGAAGACGUGGAAUUCACGUGUCAGGAGCCACCCUCCUCUGCCUCCAGUACCACGUGUCUGGGCCACAUGGGCCUACGUGAUGGGGCUGCAGGCCUCUGCUCUCCUCCUCUUUAGGAAUCUGGAGGCUCCAGGCUCUGCCUCGGCCCGCCUGAUGCCUAGGGCGGGGUGCACUUGCUACCCUGAGGCCCUUGCUAAGACAGGGUCCCCAAAGAGCUCCCCUAAGCAGCCCAGGAGUCGCCGUGCAGACCAGGAUGGGGGUGGGAGGGGCCCAGAGCAAGAAGAACCCCUUUUCAAAACAAAUUUUUUUAAUGUUUAUUUAUUUCGAGAGAGAGACGAGAGAGACAGACAGACAGAGCACGAGUGGGGAAGGGGCAGAGAGAGAGGGAGACACAGAAUCCGAAGCAGGGUCCGGGCUCUGAGCUGUCGGCACAGAGCCCGACGCGGGGCUCGAACCCAUGAACCGCGAGAUCGUGACCUGAGCUGAAAUCAGAAGCUUAACUGACUGAGCCACCCAGGCGCCCCAAGAAAAAUUCUUGUGUGGUUACUUUAAAAGUCAGCUGAGGCUCAGGAAGAACUCCACGUGUUGGGUCCGCAGUGGGGAAGAGGAGGGGGCCACAGCCAAACUCCCAGAGGGAACACGGAGAACGGGAGCAGACCUCUAGGAGCUGGCUGGAAAUGGGCCAAUGGGAGGAGCUCCAGGGAGACCCGCUGGUUUCCCCGCUGGUUGUGGGCUGGGAUCCAGUGGAUUUUCUGUCUUCUCGGGAAUGCAGAGGGCAUGGGGGUCAUCAGGUCAGGACCCUCAGAGUCUUUGGCUCUUAGAGGAGUUUUAAAUCUGGAGCUCUAAGGGUCUUCAGUUCCGGGAUGCUGAGAUUCAGGACAGGGCUCGCUCCCCACCACGGCCGCAGAAGCCAGAGUGGGACUCCCGGGGCCCCUCGGGUUCUGUUCUGACCCACCCAUGAGGUCCGAGUUGGGAUCUCAGUGCUCCUCUCUGAUCAGGGCCUGUCUUAAAUGUGUGUGUUUCUUUCCUAAUAACUUACUAAAACAAGGACAAAUUUUCUCUCUUGGACUUUGACCUUCGCAUGCGCUCCGUGCACAAAUCCUUCCCCUGGUGACACCAGGAACUCUCCUUAGAUUCCUCUGUGACUCCCAACUCCCUCCUCGGGAAGCUCAGCCUCAGGGCUGGCCUUCCAGAGGCCGGAGGCUGGGCUUCUGGGGCAGACAGGCCAAGGCCUCCUUUGUGUUCCUAAUGUCAAUGGUGUGGAUGUCACAUGACCUAGAGCAGGAGGUCACCCAUCACGCUGACACAUCACCCUGCUAUUUUCUCGCCCUUCAAAUUCUUGUCUAUGGGCAUACUUUUUUUUUAAGUGGACAUCUUUUUUUUUCUUUAAAUAAGCAUCCAGUUUUGAAACCUUGCCUUCUUCACCACAUACGUCCUACGUUUUCCAUUCAAUAUUUUGUCAUCAGUGUUUAGUUUUUUCCGUAAAAAAAAAAAAAAAAAAUCAUUGCCUCACUGGCUGCGUUGUGUCCCAUCGAGGUUAUACCCUCAUUACAUCAUUCGCAAUGCCAACCUGCUAUCGUUAUGUGUCACUCACCUUUUUUUUUUAAAUCCUAAUGUUACGAAUUACACCACAGCGAAUGGCUUUGCAUACCCACUCUUUCAUCCUUACAAAUUACUUUCCUUCACCCAGAAAUGACCAUUGCUUCAUGACAUGCUGGUUUCUCCUGCUAGACUGUGAGCCCCUUAAGGGCAAGGAGCUUGUCAGAUUGAUCUUUGUACCUCCAGAGCCCUACGUGUUGUAGAUGGUGUGGGGAUGCUUGUUGGGUGAGAAGAUGGAUGGAUGGCUACAUGGGUGGCGAAUGAAUGAAUGAAUGAAUGAAUGAACGAACGAAUGACUUUACUAGGGCUGAGCUUCUUAAACAGGAGGCCAGGGAUUUUGUAUGGAUAUUGACUAAUUUCCAAAGGCUUAUAGCAUUUUACAAUGUCCAGCGAUGUAUUAGCAUUUUGUAAUCUCUGUCAAAAAAGUGUUUUUCUGUCAUUUGAACUUGCAUUGCUUUGAUUACUAAUGAAGGUUGAGCGUUUUCACAUAUAUCUGUUAACCGAUUGCACUUUAUCUUCUGUGAACUGUUUGUCCAAGUCCAUUGGGUCAUGGCUUUCUGAUGAGAUCGGUCAAGGGUGGAAUGGGUGACCUUAGGAUAUAGUGAGCCCUCCGUCACUGGAGGCAUCCAAGGGGCAGGCCAGGCAGAUACUCAGUGAGGGUAGUUUUAAGGAGAUUCAAAUAGCAGCUGUGGGGUUUGUCUAGACGGCCUUUCAGGUCUCUCGGACCAGGAUUUGCUUCUCCCCGGAAAUGGGUGGAGGGGACAUUUUCCAUUUGGCAGCCUGGCAACAUUUAAGGUCACGUUCCCUGGGUGGGUUCAUGCAUUUAUGAUUUAUAAACUCUAAACCGCACCCUCUGUAACUCUUGCGGGACAGGAAUAUCUCUUUGAGCCUCCAAGGUGCAGGUAGCCGUGCCCAGCAUCUCGAGUAGUUAGCUGGUGACUUCCCGCCAGCCCUGUCACCCACCCCCGUUUGACCUUGAGAAACCAGCCUCCUGGACCGCCAUUUCCCACCUCUUGGGGAAUCGGCAGGGGCCAUCCGCUGCCCUUUGCAUUCCCAGUGUCCUCCAACACGUGAGCAAAUUGCCCCGAGGCCUCGAUUGAUGGGUUGAAUCGGAUCGGGACUGGUGGAGAAUCCCCUUUGGUUUUCUUCAAUGGGGCAAUCAAAUUCCAUGAGGCAAGGAGCAGAAUGGACCCUACUCUUCCAGGGUUUCCCCUCGUGUUCCACCACAGACUAACCGGGGCUCAAAGGUCAUCGAGGCCACCCGGGGAGGGGGUGUCGCCCACGGAGGGCUUGCCCUCCUUUUCUAGAACACCCUCUGCCCCCAGCAGGGAGCUGCUUCCUCCCACUGAGCCCUCUACUAUAGCACUGAGCGCUGUUUGCCUGUGUCACAAUGAACUCACGCACGUGUCUGCCCCAGCAUCGAGGCUUGGGAGGCCAGCAACGGCUUCCGGCACUAGUCUAGCCCAUCCAUCCAUCCAUCUGCGCAUUUGGCCUCCAUUUCUUGCCCCGGUGCUUCGGCCUCUCUCUCCCCUGAAAGCAAACCUUUUCAUUUUGGGUGGGCUGUGUAGUGCCAUGGGCUGUGGUCAUGAAGCGAACGCCCUUAUUACAGCUUUCUCGUCCGGGGUCACUGCUCUGAGCACGUCCCAGCUGGACUCAUCUGCCACUGUCACCCACACGGCUUCUGUCCCCAUGGCGCUUUCCCAGGCAUCACACACCGCGACGCGGAUCCAGGGCCAGGGUCCGAGAGGGCCCUCCCCCCCCCNCCCCCCCCCUCCCCGCCCCCCGCCCCCCGUGAGCCGAGGCCGCCCUGCCUGGUGCAUGGUCCCUGCCAUGAGCUUUGCUGCCAGCCUUUCUGCUCCCUCCACCAGACGGCACUGGUCGUAAUUCACCCCUCCAUUUCUCCAUUCCUUCAUUCCUUCACGGUCGACAAACAUUUUUUUAAGUGAGCUAGUGCUAUACUAGAGCUGGUUCCCAAGGACGCGUCCCCCGCACCUCUUUUGGAAAGAAAAGACGAGCCCCCGUCCGCCGGGGACUGCCUUUGCGUGCCAGCAAAAGGCGUGACCCUCUCGGUUCAGCUCCUGCUUCUAGAUUCGAGUUCCGUCGGAAGUUUGAUUGCCCUCUCCGACUUUGUGCCUCACAAAACGAGGUUGAUUAGUAAUCAGCAAACUGUGUCCCCGGGUGUUCAGAAAUCACAACCCGUGCCCUCAAGAGGCCGGAGUGACGCCUGGGGGGGUCUGAGAUGAAUGGCUGCUUCCGGCCGUGACAGGCUUUCAUGUCAUCAGGACACCCCGAACUUGCACGGUAAUGAUCCUAGAGCCGUUCCUGUCCCUUUCAAGAUUAGUUAAUGCUGGGCUCUAUUUAGAGGAACCCCGGGGAGAUGAUUGUUCAUGUGGGUGACAAGGAUCAUGCCCCGUGCGGGGGGUCUGCACAGAAUUAUCCACCGGCAGACCUGGGCAUCCGAGGCGCACGGACGGCACUUUGCAGACCCUGGACGUGGCCCUGAGCGUCCACGCGGGUCCCGGGCCGGGCGGGACCCCUCCCCCACUUUAGCUCACUGCUGCCUGUGUGGGACAAGGCGUAGGUCUCGGGGUCUCUGCCUAGAAUUCUGCCGUUUAUUCACUGCAUCGGAGCGUGGGCGUAGAGGGCAGAGCCAGGACCCUGGAGCUGGACAAACGUGUGUGGUUUAAACUGACAGUGACAGCGCGAGUCUGUCUUCCGGGGGGACUGUGGCACCCACGUCGCAGGGCUGUAACCAGGACUUGGAGCUGGGGUUCUGAACAGGCGGUGCGCGUGCCCCCGGGGGCUGCUGGGGGUGGAGCGAAAGGCCAGGAGGGGUGGCCCGAUUCGGCAGGUUUAGUGGGAAGUCGUUUCGCCCAGACAGUCAGGGGUACGCUGUGGGAUAGCAUGCCAAAUUUGUAUGACACUGUAAGAUGAGACGGGAGUAAUUUUGGCAGGAAACUUUAUGCCGGGGGGACGGGGGCCUCUUUGGGCGUCCCCCCCGAGCCCCCCCCGGGGUACGCGUUCACGCUCACCUCUGUAAAAGGUUGGAAGCACCCUCUGUGUCUUGCCUACCGCUGUGUCUGGCCUGUGGGCGGCACUCACACACCUCUCUCCCCGAGAGACCUCUCCUGGCAGCGUCCUCCCCCCCAAAAUAUUAGGCGCCAGCCAUCAAAGACGUUGCACAUCCCCAUCCCGAUGUCCCCUCUCUCAAUUAACAACCUCUGGGUUCAAAUGCCAGCAGCCUGGGUGCUUAACACAGUACCAAGCCAGUGGUAGGGGGGGCGCCUUCCACACUUGUUGAAUGGGUACGUGGGUGAACGGUCAACUCAUGAAUUGUAACCAAAUGCAAGUGGCAGAUGUUAAAACCUUUACUAAGAGUUUGUAUUUCACUCCUGAUUAACCUGUUAACAAUCUCUGUGUUGUAUCUCACGGACUUUUUUAUAUGACGUGUGCUGUUCGAACACCAGGAUUCUCAUUUUGGGUGUCGUGCGAUGAAACUUGAGCCGUCUGUGUCUCGUGUUAGAAAUUAGAACCCGGCAGGCCCCGGGGCCACUUAACUAACUAACUGUGCGGGGCUGGGCAAGUCCCUUCUCCUCGCCGGCCCUCGGUCUCCUUUUCUCUGAUGGGUGGCCAGAAAAACUUAACCUCACUGGGUUGUGGUGAGGCCACGGGCGGGGUCAGCUCCCACAGGGCGAAUCUAACGCUGGCUCUCACUGAGAAUGGCUGUGUGCCGGGGGUUGUCUCGAAAGUUCCAGGGGAGCUUUUGCUGGUUCCGGGUGGGUAAGGAGUCGGCAUCGACCUUAUGCUCAGGUUGUGUUUCAAGGGUCAAUGGAACGUGUAAGACAGAGGCUGAGCGGUCUGCAGGCAUUUAGCGAGUCAACCGGGCGGGGGUAAAUGCUGGCUUCGUUAAUGAGUGACGGCUUUUUUCCUUCCUCGGAGCCUCCCCGCCCCCACCCGCCCCCACCCUCUGCAUCCUGGCUGCUGCUUCUAACGUGGAGGUUGAAGCUGGCUGGGGUAACUACUUGGGGCUUGUUCUGCCUCUGGGUGCCGUGUCCACAGACGACUGUGUGUGCCCCGGGUUCAGUUUGCUAGGCAGGAAGAGGCGGGAUGGUUUAGAGGGAGUGUGGAGAAGGGCUUCUGGGCAACAUCCUUGGGGAUUAAAACUUCUUCUUCGGCCCUUUUGGGGAAAGGCCCGUGUGCCUGAUCUCCUCACGCCCCUCUUCCUUCUUUCCCUGGCUGUAAGGUGAAGAGAGUAGUCUGUGGUCUCAUCUGUGGGCCUGGAACCAAGAUAGGGCAGGACUGUUAGACCCAUCCCCUGCAAGCUUCCUGCUUUUUGGGGGUUUAUAGAUGGGCCUGGUUUAUAGAUGGUUUAGAGACGAGGGAGCUGAGAUUCAGGCACGGCUGGGUGUCAGAGCCAGGACUGAACAGUCUCCCAUGAGAAGCCGUGUUCUUUCGACCCCGCCAGCCAAGCUCUCCCAGUAACGGUGGCUGGGUGUGUCCCUGUCCCCACCGUGUGCCUGGCCGUGCUCCGGCAGGGGUCAUAGCCGUCCAGAGCUCAGUCGGGUCCAAGUUGGAUGUGGAAGCGUGGUCGCAUUAGAUAAGAUAUUAGGGGUCAUUCGGGGUUGGGGGGGUCUCUUCAGGAGACCCCUGAGUUCUUUUCCUGGCCCUGGUCUCAGGCGUGUGUGUGUGGGGGGGAGUAGCAUCUUGCUCUGUCCUCCCCAGAUGGCAUCCCAGGUGGGUUCGAGUUCUGCGCCCCCCAGCCUCUCUCCUGCCUGGGCCUCCCCUUCUUUCUGCCUCCGGCUUUCACAGCCUCAGUGGGCAGGCCCUGGCCUCUCUACGUGGCCGACGCUCCCGUCAACCUGGCCAUUUCUUGCACCAGCCUGAGCUUUUAUCGUGACGUCUGGUCCCCACACCUGUGCAGCCAUCAUACCUGCCGCCAGGCACACUGGCACAGACUCUCUGAUGACUCCCUUCCCUCGGGCUUUGGCUUUGCCGGGGGCCCCUUGCAGUGUGGCCGUAUGGACAUCCCAUGUCCUGGAGAACUUGUUGGGGCAGAGGGGGCCUUGCCUUGGUGCUCCCAAGGGGCCCCCUGGGAGGCACAGGUAGCUAGGGCCCUCUCCCCAGGGGACUGUGAGUCUGUGUUUAGGCAUCUGCUCCGCGAUGGGCCUCAGGCUUCUCGAAGCUUAGGCCAGCGUGAGGGACUCUCUCAGGUGUCCAAUGUUUUCACGUCGCCUUCCCCUUGAAAUGGGCACAGGGCUGGGGACCCCGUUUCCCGAGGGCAGGCAGGGUAGAGACCCCACUUCCCAAGGACAGGUGAGAAAGCGGAGGGUCAGUGGGGUCAUAGCCCCCACACUGUACUUGAACCCCAUCCCUCAUUCUGAGAUCUGUGCUUCUGUGACCCUUUACAGCACUGUUUCCUGUGCUAGUAGGAGCCUGAUAGAUGUUCACGGACUGAUGAGGUGGGGGUUUUAAUGGCCGUGAAGAACUGAAUUGACUGUUGGCUGAUGUGCAAGUCGAAUCCACAUGUGUUCCUUUAAGAGGAAAGUGCGUUUUCUUGGCAAAGCUUCUUUAGGACAAAUCUUGAGGGUCUCGGCCUAUGCGGGGUGGGGGUGGGGGCUCACCCUAGGGGCAGGUGCGGCUCGGAGGGCAGCCACGGGGGGUGGGGGUCCCUUCGGACGGAAAUGUCUGUCUUUUGCACAUUUUUGGAAGUAUUUAUGUCUAGAAUAAAUCUUCAUCUAGGCCGAAGUGUUGUCGUUUGUGUUGUGGCCCGGGUGAUUUUGAUAAUAUGGCAUUUGGUAAUUCCCAGGUGGGGGGCACGCCCUGGUCACGCCCACACCCUCUCUGUGGCUGGCUGUGCGCCCCGGGGGUGUGGAGGUCUCCACCUGAAACGUCUUCGUCCCCGCCAUUGCCGUUAAUUAACCCGUCAGGCCCAUGCCAAGUCUGAGAUGCAGCCGAGGGCACCCGAAAACCUUGGGGGGGGGAUUGGACCCCAGACCUUGAGUCUUUUCACCUGCUGUCACCCCGAAGCACAGUACACGGGCACAAGUCAAGGCAUGGGGCUCUGGGGGGUCUUGCUCUUUCGAAUUCUGGUCCUGAUGUCACCGUUGGCCAGCGUAGUGGCCUUGGGCAGGUUACUUGAACCGCCCGAGCCUUGGUUUUCCCACCUGUAGAACGGGUACUUCAUGACAAUGUGCGUUCAGAGAACGCUGGUGAGCACUGAGAACGCGGGCUGCAUACCCUGCUGUACCCCGUGUGCUGGCCCUGAGAAUCAGGGUCUGGGUUCGAGGCCACCCUAGUGCCUGCGUGUGUGCAGCCUGGCCGAGUUGGCUCACCUGUAACCUGGAAACAAUCACGUUUACCUGGCACGGUUAUUGUGGGGUUCAAUGAGACUGUUGAUGUGAAAAUAAAUGCUUUGUUACCUGGCACACAGGGGGCCUCACUCCUCGCCCUCCCGGUGGGCCCUGGGUGUGGGCACUGGUCGCAGACGCCCCGUGCUCCCGGGAACCGUAGCAGCCCAAGUGGCUGUCCGGCGGAGCGGAGGGCGUCAGGGAAGCACGCGGCCAGCUCCGGGGAGGCAGUGCGGGAGGGAAGCGUUUGCUUUUAAACACAGAGGUUUAACAAGUUCAGAGGGGGCGGGGCUGAGGCCAAAGUCGGGUGUGGGCUGGGGGGUCGGGGAUCAGGGAGAGCUCUUAGAAGCCCCCAGAGGAGGAAGGGGCUGAUAUUUUAUAAACCAUCCAAGCGUAACUGGCAAUGGUUUGGACAGGAUAGGUGGGGUGGUUUUUAGGAAGGCCACGAGUUCCCGAUUCCGGGUUAGUGGGGUGAGAACCUUCAGAGCUUAACGGUGCAGGAGGGCGUCAGGACCAGGGGCGUGCUUCUGGAAAUCUCCGCGGGUGGAGGAGACUGGGGAGGGGGUGAUGUGUGGGAGCCCAGGUUGAGGGGGGCCAGAUCGAGGGGCAGGAGCUGGUGACCGGGUGCUUCCCCUGGCCCCCCCCCGACGGCCGCUGGGAGCCAGGGCCUUCUCCCGCAUUGUCCAGUGGCAUCCGGUCCCGGGUGCCUCUCUCCUCUCCUCAACCCCCACCCCCCACCCCCCGGCCCGCCCGUCUGCAUGAGAACUGUUGUCGGCCAGUGAGACCGGGAGCGGGCCCCUUCAUCUGCGCCUGUGUCUCUCUCAGCCUCCGCAGCCACGGGGACACCCUGCACGCGUUCCCGCGGGACAGGCCGGACCCAAAGACUCUGGACCGGGGCCGCCCCCUGCGAGGAGGGGCGCGCCCUCCCGGCCUCUCCUUGCCUAGCCACCCGCCCUCUGACUGAUGGACAUCACUGAUCUGAGGCUCAGACGCGUGGGCCGGACCCCUCCCCGCCCCUCACGAGCCCUGAGACUUGGGGGAGCGGAGCCAGCGAGCCUACCUACCUCACAGGGUUGUUGUGAGGAGCGUGUGAUGCGGUUUGGAAGCACCUGACCCGGGACUUGGCUCACCCUGUUGUGCUCUCAAUAAAUGUGUUUCUU